rfam:Diaporthe ampelina DA_912_scaffold_v01_98, whole genome shotgun sequence.
GGUGCUGUCGUCUAGAGGUUUAGGACGUUGGAUUGUGGUCAAGCCUGCCAGCUCUCCAAAGACCAAGGUUCGAACCCUUGCAGCGCCA